rnacentral:rRNA from 1 species
AUUGAACGCUGGCGGCAGGCCUAACACAUGCAAGUCGAACGAGUGGCGGACGGGUGAGUAAUGUCUGGGAAACUGCCCGAUGGAGGGGGAUAACUACUGGAAACGGUAGCUAAUACCGCAUACCAUCGGAUGUGCCCAGAUGGGAUUAGCUAGUGGGUGGGGUAAUGGCUCACCUAGGCGACGAUCCCUAGCUGGUCUGAGAGGAUGACCGGCAAAACGGGACCGGGAACACGGUCAGGAUCCCAAGGGGGGGAAGAGGGGGGGAAUAUGGAACAAGGGGGGCAGGCUGGAUGAAGCAAGGCCGGGUGUAGGAGGAGGGCCUUGGGGUGGAAAAGAACUUUAGGCGAGGAGGCGUUACUCGCAGAAGAAGCACCGGCUAACUCCGGGCCAGCAGCGCGGUAAUUC